ACUUAUACGAAGCUAGUUGUCCGCCCCCAUUGGCCUCUUAACAUAAACCCUCACACAACCAUUUUGCACCAACUUUUCUCUUAACAAAACAUACACCUUACACAUAACUUGCUUUCACGAUAACAAUACACAAUCCUCAUAACCUCGUCUCCAUUUUCCAACCUACAACCAUACAUAUCCACACUCUCUUCCGUCUCCAUUUCAAGCACCCUCUCUGCCAUUGUAACCGCUUUCGACAACCUCUUCCCUCUCACAUCUAAACUCCCUCCAACCACUUUUAAAUUCCGCCAUUCACACUUGGUUGUAGCUCACACACCGAGCAACAUCCAUUAACCACAUUCGAGCUUCCGGCUACCAUUAGUACCUUGCUCUGUCUAAAGUCACAACUACUCCAUGUGAACCUUAACACGAUGCCACAAAAAAAGAUGAUGCUCAAACUCCACCUCGCCGCCAAAUCCGCUCAAACUCGCAGCUGCAAAUAUAACAAAAACGGAGUCACCACCAUAGAGCACCGCUUUUCAACCUUCAGACCACCGCAAGCCACUAUGACAACACCAAUAGCACUUCCCUUUUUCUUUUCUUUCCCAUUUUUGUUCAUUGUUUCUUGUUUAUUUGGAUGAGGCUUUGUUUGUUGUUGUUUUGAAUGAAGGAAUUAUUUUAUGUUGAUUUUGUGUUUGUGAUAAAAAGGAUCUGUUUUGUGAAGAUUGAAUGAUUAACACGAAGGAGAUGAGGUGAGAGAUAGGAGAUUGUGUGUG
rnacentral:lncRNA from 1 species